rnacentral:rRNA from 1 species
AGUCCGUCUGUAUUAGUCUUAUGUUAAAGCCUGGAGCUUAACUCCAGAAAUGCGUAGGAAACGGUAAGACUAGAGGAUGUGAGAGGUCUGUGGAACUCAUGGUGUAGGGGUGAAAUCCGUUGAUAUCAUGGGGAACACCAAAAGCGAAGGCAGCAGACUGGCACAUUCCUGACACUGAGGAACGAAAGCGUGGGUAGCGAAUGGGAUUAGAUACCCCAGUAGUCCACGCCCUAAACGAUGUUCAUUUGCUUUUCGGAGUAUCGACCCUCUGAGAGGCGUAGCUAACGCGUUAAAUGAACCACCUGGGUAGUACGACCGCAAGGUUAAAACUCAAAGGAAUAGACGGGGACUUGCACAAGUAGUGGAUUAUGUGGUUUAAUUCGAUGUCAAACGAAGAACCUCACCAGGGCUGGAAAUUUAAUUGAAAGCUUCCAGAAACGGAAGCCCUCGCAAGACAAUUAGACAGGUGCUGCAUGGUCGUCGUCAGCUCGUGGUUUGAACUGUUCCCUUCAGUGGGGUAACGAGCGCAACCCUCGUCGUGUGUUACAAGUGUCACACGAGACUGCCCCCUCUCGGGGGAGGAAGGUGAGGAUGACGCCAGAUCAGCAUGGCCCUUUGAUGCCCUGGGCUACACACAUAAUACAAUCGCCACUACAACACGACGCAAUACCGCGAGGUGGAGCAAAUCGUUAUAAAAGUGGCGCCAGUUCGGAUUGAAGUCUGCAACUCGACUUCAUGAAGUUGGAAUUACUAGUAAUCGCGGGUCAGACAUACCGCGGUGAAUACGUUCUCAAGUCUUGUACUCACCGCCCGUCAACUCAAGGGAGCCGGAAAUACCCGAAGUAUCCCACUAUAAGUGGGUCCUAAGGUAAGCUCGGUGACAGGGACUAAGUCGUAACAAGGCACGGGUAGCGGAAGCUGCUCGUG